UACAGAGGGUCUCAAGCGUUGUUCGGAUUCAUUGGGCGUAAAGGGUGCGUAGGCGGCCUUCUAAGUCAGACGUGAAAUCCCCAGGCUUAACUUGGGAACUGCGUCUGAUACUGGAGGGCUUGAGUGCGGGAGAGGGAUGUGGAAUUCCAGGUGUAGCGGUGAAAUGCGUAGAUAUCUGGAGGAACACCGGUGGCGAAGGCGGCAUCCUGGACCGACACUGACGCUGAGGCGCGAAAGCCAGGGAGGCGAACGGGG
rnacentral:rRNA from 1 species